CCUACGGGAGGCAGCAGUGGGGAAUAUUGCACAAUGGAGGGAACUCUGAUGCAGCGACGCCGCGUGAGUGAUGAAGGCUUUCGAGUCGUAAAACUCUGUCCUUGGGGACGAUAAUGACGGUACCCAAGGAGGAAGCCACGGCUAACUACGUGCCAGCAGCCGCGGUAAUACGUAGGUGGCAAGCGUUGUCCGGAAUUACUGGGUGUAAAGGGCGUGUAGGCGGGAAGGCAAGUCAGAUGUGAAAGCCCAUGGCUUAACUGUGGAAUUGCAUCUGAAACUGUUUUUCUUGAGUGCUGGAGAGGAAAGUGGAAUUCCUAGUGUAGCGGUGAAAUGCGUAGAGAUUAGGAGGAACACCAGUGGCGAAGGCGACUCUCUGGUCUGUAACUGACGCUGAGGAGCGAAAGCGUGGGGAGCGAACAGGAUUAGAUACCCCUGUAGUC
rnacentral:rRNA from 1 species